GCGCCGGUGGUGUAAUGGCGUAGAGCAUUCCUAUCCGGUCAGCUGGAGGUGUGGGUUCGAGUCUCGCCUGGCGCU
rnacentral:tRNA from 1 species